rnacentral:rRNA from 1 species
AUACGGAAGGUCCGGGCGUUAUCCGGAUUUAUUGGGUUUAAAGGGAGCGCAGGCGGAGAUGCAAGCGUGACGUCAAAUUUCGGGGCUCAACCCCGUCUCGCGUCGCGAACUGCGUCCCUUGGUUGCGGGAAGGGGAGGCGGAACUCGUGGUGUAGCGGUGAAAUGCAUAGAUAUCACGAAGAACUCCGAUCGCGAAGGCAGCCUUCAGGCCCGUCAACGACGCUCAUGCUCGAAGGUGCGGGUAUCAAACAGGAUUAGAUACCCUGGUAGUCCGCACAGUAAACGAUGGACACCCGCGGUUUGGCCUGUAUGGCUGAGCCGCCAAGCGAAAGCGUUAAGUGUCCCACCUGGGGAGUACGCCGGCAACGGUGAAACUCAAAGGAAUUGACGGGG